AUUACCGAGUGAACCGGCGGUCAGGGAGAGCCAUACGCUUUGAUGGUUCGGUGAUCCGGAGAUCAUCUUGAGCCGUGUUCAUUUAAUGACUGAGUGCAUCGGAGACCUGAGGGGGUCUCAUGCAUUAAUGACAGGUCAUGCCGAGUUCCUGUAGAGAUCCCGUGCCUUGAUGACUUAAAGGAUGGCGGCAGAUUGUAGUGGAGUCACGUACUUGGUUGUCAGACCUGUUGGAGGAUUAAGCGGAGAUUGGAUAUUCGGCUAAGGCAUGGGC
rnacentral:lncRNA from 1 species